UUUCUUGAAAGAAGAGUCCAGACUUGCUGUC
rnacentral:piRNA from 1 species